AGUGAACGCUGGCGGUAGGCCUAACACAUGCAGGUCGAACGGCAGCACAGUAAGAGCUUGCUCUUACGGGUGGCGAGUGGCGGACGGGUGAGGAAUACAUCGGAAUCUACUUUUUCGUGGGGGAUAACGUAGGGAAACUUACGCUAAUACCGCGUACGACCUACGGGUGAAAGCAGGGGAUCUUCGGACCUUGCGCGAUUGAAUGAGCCGAUGUCGGAUUAGCUAGUUGGCGGGGUAAAGGCCCACCAAGGCGACGAUCCGUAGCUGGUCUGAGAGGAUGAUCAGCCACACUGGAACUGAGACACGGUCCAGACUCCUACGGGAGGCAGCAGUGGGGAAUAUUGGACAAUGGGCGCAAGCCUGAUCCAGCCAUACCGCGUGGGUGAAGAAGGCCUUCGGGUUGUAAAGCCCUUUUGUUGGGAAAGAAAAGCAGCAGGUUAAUACCCCGCUGUUCUGACGGUACCCAAAGAAUAAGCACCGGCUAACUUCGUG
rnacentral:rRNA from 1 species